rnacentral:rRNA from 1 species
CAUGUGGGGCAAGCGUUGUUCGGAAUCACUGGGCAUAAAGGGUGCGUAGGCGGCUUGUUAAGUCAGGGGUGAAAUCCCACGGCCCAACCGUGGAACUGCCUUUGAAACUGGCGAGCUGGAGUGCGUGAGGGGUAACCGGAACGAGUCGUGUAGCGGUGAAAUGCGUAGAUAUGACUCGGAAGGCCAAAGGCGAAGGCAGGUUACUGGUACGCAACUGACGCUGAAGCACGAAAGCGUGGGGAGCAAACAGGAUUAGAUACCCUGGUAGUCCACGCCGUAAACGAUGAGCACUAGGUCGAUGCCACGCUACGUGGUGUCGGCCGCAGAAAAUUUAUUAAGUGCUCCGCCUGGGGAGUAUGGUCGCAAGGCUG